rnacentral:rRNA from 1 species
AUUGAACGCUGGCGGCAUGCUUUACACAUGCAAGUCGAACGGUAACAGGCCUUCGGGUGCUGACGAGUGGCGAACGGGUGAGUAAUGCAUCGGAACGUGACCAGAGGUGGGGGAUAACGCAGCGAAAGCUGUGCGAAGACCGCAUGGGAUCUGAGGAUGAAAGCGGGGGACCAGGCAGCAAUGUUUGGCCUCGCGCGUUUGGAGUGGCCGAUGUCAGAUUAGGUAGUUGGUGGGGUAAAGGCCUACCAAGCCGACGAUCUGUAGCUGGUCUGAGAGGACGACCGGCCACACUGGGACUGAGACACGGCCCAGACUCCUAAGGGAGGCCGCAGUGGCGAAUUUUGGACAAUGGGCGCAAGCCUGAUCCAGCAAUGCCGCGUGCGAGACGACGGCCUUCGGGUUGUAAACCGCUUUUGUACGGAACGAAAAGGCUCUGGCUAAUACCUGGGGCUGAUGACGGUACCGUAAGAAUAAGCACCGGCUAACUACGUG